CUGGCGUGUAGAUUUGCGAUAGUAGUAAACAAUUUGUUUUCGAUUGUGUAGGUGCAGAAAAGAAGAGUGAAACAAUUGCUAUAGCAGAGGGUGUCAGUGCAGAUUUUAAUUCAGAAGUGGAUGAUUUGGGUACUGAGAAAGCUGCCUUUGUCCAGGAACGAGAAUCUGAUAUGACCUUAAGAUAUUAUAGCCUAAACGAAAAAGACGAAGAGCCGUGGCCGGUCAUCAAAAACUGCUACUAUUUCUUGUAUAAAAGGCUUCGCUUUAGUCACGAGUUUGUCGGCCACUUGUUUCAGCAAAAGUUGAUCGAUAAAACAGACCAUGAAUUCUUUCUCGGCUCUAAUUCUAUCGAAGAGAAAGUACAUCAUUUACUCGUUACGGUGCUUCCCACCAAACCGCCAGAGAAGUUGGCCGACCUUUGCAAAAUCUUUUCAAUUAUGGGACAAGGACAUGUUGUCGAAAGACUAAAAAUGUGUUCUUCAGAAGGAGAGCUGUGCCCACAAGGAAUGGAGGAUACUUGCGAAAGCCAAUCUCAGG